CGCAGUAGCUGCCACGGCCGCUCCUAGCCCGGGGGAUCCUGGGAGCAGGCCUUUCCGGAAGGACCGGUUCGGCGUCGGGGCCUCGGCCCGUGUUGCAGCCCCGUGUUCCAGGCCCUUGCUCCAGGACGGGCCCGUAGCAGCGGCGACGUUCUAAGGACAGCGGAGGGCGCGGCGGGCCGCUCGCUGAGGUACCCGGCUUCGCCGCCGAGCGAGCCACGGGGCCGCAGGACGUGGCGGCACCUCCCCCUUGGCCCGGAGCGGAACUGCGGGAGGAGCGGCAACGCAGGCCGGACGAGGUGAACCGGGUCACUAAACUGCCUUCAGGUGAUGAAUCAUCUACAUAAUAAACAGAUUUGAGGUCCACAGCCCUCUGUGGUCCUGCUGUAGAACAAUUUUCAGAGAGUGACUGGUGUGUUCUGAGGUGUGCCACAGUGACUGUUUGCCCUUGAUAAGGAAAGCGAGCUCUCUUGCUCUUGGGACAUCCUCGUUUCCUUUAAAGCUUUCAGGUCAUAACCUCUUUGGCCGGCAUACAUCUUUGUGCAAGAGGAAGGCUUGCACAUGAAAGUGUCUCUUGGUAACGGUGAAAUGGGCGUCUCCGCCCAUUUACAGCCUUGCAAGGCAGGAACCACACGUUUUUUUACCAGCAAUACUCACAGUUCGGUGGUUUUGCAAGGCUUUGAUCAGCUUAGAAUAGAAGGAUUGCUUUGUGACGUGACCCUGGUACCAGGUGAUGGAGAUGAAAUCUUCCCUGUUCAUAGAGCUAUGAUGGCAUCUGCUAGUGAUUAUUUCAAGGCUAUGUUCACAGGUGGAAUGAAAGAACAAGAUUUAAUGUGCAUUAAGCUUCAUGGGGUGAACAAAGUUGGUCUGAAGAAAAUAAUUGAUUUUAUUUAUACUGCAAAACUUUCUCUUAAUAUGGACAAUCUUCAGGACACACUUGAAGCUGCCAGCUUUUUGCAAAUUUUACCUGUUUUAGACUUCUGUAAAGUGUUCCUUAUUUCAGGAGUCUCUUUAGAUAACUGUGUUGAAGUUGGACGAAUUGCUAACACCUACAAUCUUAUAGAAGUGGAUAAAUAUGUCAAUAAUUUCAUCCUGAAGAAUUUUCCUGCAUUAUUGAGUACUGGGGAGUUUCUGAAACUCCCUUUUGAACGGCUUGCCUUUGUGCUUUCCAGCAAUAGUCUUAAGCACUGUACUGAACUUGAGCUUUUCAAGGCUGCCUGUCGCUGGCUAAGGUUGGAAGACCCUCGGAUGGAUUAUGCUGCAAAAUUAAUGAAGAAUAUUCGAUUUCCACUGAUGACACCACAGGAUCUCAUCAAUUAUGUGCAGACAGUAGAUUUCAUGAGAACAGACAAUACCUGUGUGAAUUUGCUUUUGGAAGCUAGCAAUUACCAAAUGAUGCCAUAUAUGCAGCCAGUGAUGCAGUCAGAUAGAACUGCCAUUAGAUCUGACUCAACCCACUUGGUUACAUUAGGAGGAGUUUUGAGGCAGCAGCUGGUUGUCAGUAAAGAAUUACGGAUGUAUGAUGAAAGGGCGCAAGAGUGGAGAUCUUUAGCCCCCAUGGAUGCUCCUCGUUACCAGCAUGGCAUUGCUGUCAUUGGAAACUUUCUUUAUGUAGUUGGUGGUCAAAGUAAUUAUGAUACAAAAGGAAAAACUGCCGUUGAUACCGUUUUCAGAUUUGAUCCUCGGUAUAAUAAAUGGAUGCAGGUUGCUUCAUUAAAUGAAAAGCGCACAUUUUUCCACUUGAGUGCUCUCAAAGGACAUUUGUAUGCCGUUGGUGGGCGAAGUGCAGCUGGUGAGCUGGCCACAGUAGAAUGUUACAAUCCAAGAAUGAAUGAGUGGAGCUAUGUUGCAAAAAUGAGUGAACCCCACUAUGGCCAUGCUGGAACAGUUUAUGGAGGCUUAAUGUAUAUUUCAGGAGGAAUUACUCAUGAUACUUUCCAAAACGAGCUCAUGUGUUUUGACCCUGAUACAGACAAAUGGACACAGAAGGCUCCAAUGACUACAGUCAGAGGUCUGCAUUGCAUGUGUACAGUUGGAGACAAGCUCUAUGUCAUUGGUGGCAAUCACUUCAGAGGAACAAGUGAUUAUGAUGAUGUUCUAAGCUGUGAAUACUAUUCACCAACCCUUGACCAGUGGACACCAAUUGCUGCCAUGUUAAGAGGUCAAAGUGAUGUUGGAGUUGCCGUCUUUGAAAAUAAAAUUUAUGUCGUAGGUGGAUAUUCUUGGAAUAAUCGUUGUAUGGUAGAAAUUGUCCAGAAAUAUGACCCAGAAAAGGAUGAGUGGCAUAAAGUUUUUGACCUUCCAGAGUCACUUGGUGGCAUUCGAGCUUGUACUCUCACAGUUUUUCCACCUGAAGAAAACCCUGGGUCACCUUCCAGAGAAUCACCUCUUUCAGCACCUUCAGAUCAUUCUUAGGACCAAGGUGGAAUACCUUUGCAGUGCAUCAUGGAUGAUCCCAUACUUCCCCUUCAGUUGUAUCUUCUUACAUUGAUUGGUACAGUUAUUAGAUAAAAAGACAAUAUACUCCUACAGAAAAUUUCAUUCAAAACUACAGAAGCAUACUAUCAGAAGUAAAACCAACGUUCUAUCCGCAGCUCAACGAUUGAAAGACCUUAGGUUCCUUUGGGUGUAAAGAAAGGUUGUUUGAGAUUUUUCUAGUUUCCUGAGGUUCUUUGAUCAUCUGUACCAUCAUUACCCUGAAUUCUUCCUCAGCUGUAGAAGAUCUCUUCUGGUUGGUUCUGGUCUUUUUCAUUGAUGGUUGUUCUGCAAGUACUUGUGAUUUUGGUGUGCUCAUGAGAGGAGGAUGGAUAUGAUUGAAAACAUGAAGCCUGUCAAGAAUGCACUUACGCCAAUGGUUCUUUUCUGGAUAUAACCUUCCUUGUUCCUUCUGUUCUAUUUAAUACAGUAUUAGAACAAGAUGAAUAUAAAGCUGCUGACGGCAGUUAAGGUCUGUUACCUGAGCUCAGAUGUUUCAUUGUGUAUACAGCCCUUUCCCAAUUUUAAGUAAGUUCAUGCAGUAUUCUAGCUCUUUACUGGUCCAUCUUCCAGAAGGCUGUGACUAUAGAGUUAGAGUUUUAUCAUUCUUUGCCUCAUUUCACCUAACAGCCCAUCAGUAGAGUCUAUAUGUGUGAAUGGAGGGCAAGUCUAAUUUCUACUGACUGAACUUUUAUCUUAGUUGGGAAGGAUAGUUUAUCACUUAGAAGCCAACACAUUCCAGCCAGGAAUUAGUGAUCCAUAAAAACAACUCAUUUCUUCAUACUAGGCAAAGUGUUUGUUUGGUUAUUAAUCCCUCCAUCCUUAUCCAGAUAACACAGAUUUCACAAACCUUCUAUGUACCCUAUGUAUACAGACACACUCAAAGGCAUCACUUAAGCUCAGAGAAUGGGGAAAGAGGGUUUUCUAACUAACUUUCCAGGCUGACUCUUCAUUAAUGAGCUAACCUGUGCCCUCAACUUUUCCUGCUUCAUCCUGUAAGGGGAGUGGGUUAUGGAUUUCACUUACACUGUCCACUUAGUUUACUUCUUCAGUUUCCGUAUCUGCAUUUCUCAUUCACCCUCACCACUUACCUCGUAGUGCACUUACCAGCCAUGUGCAACAGGUUCCUGGCUAUCAUUUGGCAAUACUUCCGUGUGUAGACCAAGCUCAAGGAGAUGCCUCUACUUAGCCCCCAAACUCAGUGUCCAGAAAUGGGUUUUUACAUAUCCUGCUGGGCGCUUGCAGCUGGUCAAAGCUCCUAGUGGACAACCUGCCUUUGUGGAGUAUCAAUUGGGGCACAGUAGAGAAGCCCUAUCAAGAUCUAGGUAGCGAUCAGGAUUAUAACUUUGAGAAUGACCUAAGUCUGCUGAAGCAUUGGUUGUGUGCAGAGGCAGGAGCCGCAAAGGGGACUUCGUUCAGGACAAUGGCAGAACUGGGGUCAUCUCGUUACUGCUACUAACCAGUCUCGAACUACAAUCAAGUCACUAGCUGGAUGUUUUGUUAAAAAAUCAUUAAAACUGAUUAUUGUGUCCAUAGUCUCACUUACCUGGGGUAGUUAUUACAUCAGUGAUGUUGCUGGACCAACACCAUUCUAUUUGGAGAGAUGUACAGAUGACUGCAGAUGGUGGUAUCAGGCACAAGAAAAAUGCAUAACCUGCCACUCCAGUGCUCCAUCCCUGCAUAGAAAGAGUGGUUAAUUUUUCUCUAGUAUCCUUUACUGUCUCACCAUCCCCCUGCUGGCUUUCAGAAGAGCGUGGUCAAAAGAAAAAUCUCAACACUACUACAUUUAACUCUUAAUAGCAGCCUUUGUCCAUCCCUUAGGAAUGACUUUACACCCCAGACCUUACCUCUACCACAGUCUCAACAGUUUUCUCCUACCGAAGUUGACCUAUAAGAACUGCUUUUAUUAAUACCCAGAAUAUAAUGCUGAGAAACACUGUUCUCUCACAUCAUAGACUAUUAUCUAUUUUCUGAUACAUCUCUAAUCAUCAUCUUGAAGGAUCUGAGCCAUGUGGUCACUUUGAUACAACAGAGCAGCAACCUGAUUCCCAAACCAGACGCAAAGCUUCAUACAGUGGGUUUUCAUACGCUGCAUUCCUCAUUUAUCCUGGCAUUAUAUUUUCCAAAGAAAAACAGGAAUGGGAUUCUCCUUAGUCCCCUUGAGUUGGGGAACACAAGGUGAUCUUCCUAACAUUUCUAAAGAAAUGUGGCCAACAACACAACCCUCUCAGCUUUAGAGUGACUAAGAAAGCAGCAAGGACUACCCAAGCUCCACUGUGUUCCUAGAACCUCUGGAAAAAACACUAGUUCACAUGAGCUCAAACAUUUUAAUCCUGAGCUGAUACCCUCUUCCCUGAGUUCCUUAGAAUCAGGUAACCCAAGCUCAAACCGUGUACAAAUCCCCUUACCCCUCCUUCCUACUGAGCCUCAUCAUGGUUCUUCGUGGUGAGUACUCUCACUUGCUGCAAAAGUUAGGAAACCUGACUUGGUUUAACUAUAGAGCUGUUCCUGGGGCGUCUAGCUGGGCUUCAUUACAACUCCAGGAAAGAAAGUCAUGUGAGAGCCUCCAGAGAGAACUAGCACAGUCUUCCAUCUGUGCUGUUAGUGGUCAGAGAGAAGAGAAUUUUUGGUGCUAAUUUUUUUGGAGGGUACUAAUUUUUUUGGAGGGUGAGGGUGGAACAUGCCCCCUUUUACUUUAUGCAUAUAAGUAAUGUUUUUAACUGUUCAAAAAAUAUCUGAAAGAUUUGAGAAAAGCUCUGUUUCCUUCAACUAAUGUGACAAGAAAAAAGGUCCAGAGAUUUAGGUCUGUCCAUAAUCUCACAGCUAUAGUGUAGACAUAUUGUACAUUAAAAACUCAGCAGU